rnacentral:rRNA from 1 species
CCUACGGGUGGCAGCAGUGGGGAAUAUUGGGCAAUGGGCGCAAGCCUGACCCAGCAACGCCGCGUGAAGGAAGAAGGCGUUCGGGUUGUACACUUCUUUUCUCAGGGACGAAGCAAGUGACGGUAACUGAGGAAUAAGCCACGGCUAACUACGUGCCAGCAGCCGCGGUCAUACGUCGGUGGGAAGCGUUAUCCGGAUGUACUGGGUGUAAAGGGCGUGUAGGCGGGACUGUAAGUCAGAUGUGAAAACCACUGGCUCAACCUGUGGCCUGCAUUUGAAACUGUAGUUCUUGAGUACUGGAGAGGCAGACGGAAUUCCUAGUGUAGCGGUGAAAUGCGUAGAUAUUAGGAGGAACACCAGUGGCGAAGGCGGUCUGCUGGACAGCAACUGACGCUGAGGCGCGAAAGCGUGGGGAGCAAACAGGAUUAGAUACCCCGGUAGUC